AGGACAACAACCACACGAGCCACUGCCUGUUCACCCUGCUAUCAUCCAGAAGGCGAGAUUUUAGUUUGGUAACAGAGACCUGUAUGGAGAUCAAACUGUUUCAUCGAUGAGAAAAUUAGCAAGAAUGUCGGUCAAAGUCCAUCUCGCUCGAUAUUCUUCCACUGCCGGCCACUAUCAAAUCCUGUCCUUCCCUCAGUGGAAGAGUUGAGCUCUCCAACCGCAUCCAUCCAUGAUGAGCAUGUCCUGCACUGAAACCCGCUGAUCACCUCAACCCCUGUCCUGCACUGAAGCCUCUGAACACCUCAACCCCUGACCUGCACUGAAGUCAGGCCUCUCGAACACCUCAACUUAACAAUGUCUUAUAACCCCAUUCAGUCACUGCUGCGAUCCCUUCCCAACACUGUGAGCAAAGAACAGCUUUAUGAAUACCUCCAAACACACACACACACACACACACCAUCAAGUCUUGAGUGAACUGAAACACUACAUGCCAGCUUUACGAAUGCCAUCAGAAGAAAAGUCGCUAAGGAGCUUAGUAUGCAGAAAGCCGUUUAGUGCUCAUUGUUAUUUCUGGAUACUGUGAGAAAAAGUGCCAGAGGCAAUUAAGGCCAUUGCCUUUGAGUGGCUGUGUGGUCACUUGUUUUUAUGACGAGUCUGAAGCAGUAAAAUAGUACAUAAUGAUGUCUGGUUUGCGUAACAAACACACACACAUACACAUACACACACACACAUACACAUACACACACACACACACACACGCACAUACUCACCAGUAAGAGCCAAGUCCUGAGUGAA
ensembl:lncRNA